rnacentral:rRNA from 1 species
ACUACGGGAGGCAGCAGUGGGGGAUAUUGCACAAUGGGGGAAACCCUGAUGCAGCGACGCCGCGUGGGCGAAGAAGUAUUUCGGUAGGUAAAGCCCUAUCAGCAGGGAAGAAGAAAUGACGGUACCUGAGUAAGCAGCACCGGCUAAAUACGUGCCAGCAGCCGCGGUAAUACGUAUGGUGCAAGCGUUAUCCGGAUUUACUGGGUAUAAAGGGAGCGUAGACGGCAGUGCAAGUCUGGAGUGACAGGCGGGGGCUCCACCCCCGGACUGCUCUGGAAACUGUACGGCUGGAGUGCAGGAGAGGUAAGUGGAAUUCCGAGUGUAGCGGUGAAAUGCGUAGAUAUUAGGAGGAACACCAGUGGCGAAGGCGGCUUACUGGACUGUAACUGACGUUGAGGCUCGAAAGCGUGGGGAGCAAACAGGAUUAGAUACCCUUGUAGUC